rnacentral:piRNA from 1 species
UGAUUGUCCUUUACACCUAGACUCACGUGU